rnacentral:tRNA from 1 species
GAGUUAAUAGUCUAAUGGUUAAGACAUUUACCUUUUAAGUAAUUUAUAUUGGUUCAAUUCCAAUUUAACUCA